rnacentral:rRNA from 1 species
GAAAGUAAAGAAGGGCGCAUGGCGGAUGCCUUGGCUCUCGGAGGCGAUGAAGGACGUGAUAAGCUGCGAUAAGCUUUGGGGAGGUGCAAAUGACCUUUGAUCCAGAGAUUUCCGAAUGGGACAACCCAAUAUCUUGAAGAGGUAUUAUCCAACGUUGUUGGAGGCUAACGCAGGGAACUGAAACAUCUUAGUACCUGCAGGAAAAGAAAAUAAACAAUGAUUCCCCCAGUAGUGGCGAGCGAACGGGGAACAGCCCAAACCAUCCAUGUUACGGCAUGGGUGGGGUUGUAGGACUACGCCGUUGCAUGAAGACAUCAGAGAAGAACUUUCUGGAAAGAAAGACCAUAGAGCAUGACAGUUGCGUAUUCGAAUGUUGUCGAAGCAUAGUAGUAUCCUGAGUAGCGCGGAGCACGAGGAAUUCUGCGUGAAUCUGCCGGGACCAUCCGGUAAGGCUAAAUACUCCCGAGAGACCGAUAGCGAACCAGUACCGUGAGGGAAAGGUGAAAAGCACUUCGAACAGAAGAGUGAAAUAGUUCCUGAAACCGUGCGCCUACAAGCGGUCGGAGCUCGUUAAUGAGUGACGGCGUGCCUUUUGCAUAAUGAACCUACGAGUUGCCUUUGCCGGCAAGGUUAAGUGUGACGACACACGUAUCCGAAGCGAAAGCGAGUCUGAACAGGGCGUAUAGUCGGCAGUGGCAGACGCGAAACCAAGUGAUCUACCCUUGGCCAGGUUGAAGGCUGGGUAACACCAGCUGGAGGACCGCACCAAUAAGCGUUGAAAAGCUUCUGGAUGAGCUGAGGGUAGGGGUGAAAGGCUAAUCAAACUUGGAGAUAGCUCGUACUCCCCGAAAUGCAUUUAGGUGCAGCCUUGCGGGUUACUGAUGUGAGGUAGAGCGACUGAUAAGAUGCGAGGGCUUCACCGCCUAUCAAGUCUUGACAAACUCCGAAUGCGCAUCAGUUCUACCGCAGGAGUGAGGGCAUGGGUGCUAAGGUCCGUGCCCGAGAGGAGAAGAAUCCGGACCACCUGCUAAGGUCCCGAAAUGACAGCUAAGUUAAACUAACGAAGUCUGACUGCUAAGACAGCUAGGAUGUUGGCUUGGAAGCAGCCAUUCAUUUAAAGAGUGCGUAACAGCUCACUAGUCGAGGAGUCGGGCGUGGAUAAUAAUCGGGUAUUAAGUUGUCUACCGAAGCAGUGGGAUCAUUAAUAUGAUCGGUAGGGGAGCAUUCCAGUCAGCGUCGAAGGCGUACCGUGAGGUAUUCUGGAGCGUCUGGAAAAGCAAAUGUAGGUAUAAGUAACGAUAAAGGGGGCGGGAAACCCCCUCGCCGAAAGACUAAGGUUUCCUGAUCAACGCUAAUCGGAUCAGGGUCAGUCGGGUCCUAAGGCUCAGCCGAACGGCGAUGCCGAUGGCAGAAACGGUUAAUAUUCCGUUACUACCUUCAGGAGUGACGUGGAGACGCAGUAGUGACAGUGCCGCCAUCUGACGGAAUAGAUGGUUGAAGGGUGUAGGAGUCGAUCAUGGCAGGCAAAUCCACCAUGAGAUCCGAACCUGACAGUAUGCCGCGUCCUUCGGGACAAGGCAAUAGUGCGCGUAAGCAUGCUGCCGAGAAAAUCCGCUAAACUUAAUCCUGUAGGUACCCGUACCGCAAACGGACACACGUAGUCGGGAUGAAUAUUCUAAGGCGCUUGAGUGAUUCACGGUUAAGGAACUAGGCAAACUGACCCUGUAACUUCGGGAUAAAGGGUCCCUACCCUUUUAUGGGAGGGCGCAGAGAAUCGGUCCAGGCAACUGUUUAACAAAAACACAGGGCUGUGCCAAAUCGAAAGAUCCAGUAUACAGCCUGACACCUGCCCGGUGCUGGAAGGUUAAGAGGAGAUGUCAUCGAUAAGAGAAGCGUUGAAUUGAAGCCCCAGUAAACGGCGGCCGUAACUAUAACGGUCCUAAGGUAGCGAAAUUCCUUGUC